CAAUGAUCUAAUAUCCAUCAUGAUAUCCCAUGGUGUUUGUUUUUUCUUUCUUUCAGAAAUGAGCUUUCUAUGCAGCAAAAGACAAUGCUUUGAUGGUAGUAUGUGUCGGUGGCUAUUUUGUCCCCAUCAGGCUUCUACAGUCAGAGAAUAACCAGCAGUAUGGCUAUGUCACAGCUGAGUGGAAAGAGCAGAAGCAGGAACCUAGGAAGCUGCCUUAUACCGAGUCAAACCAUCGGUGCAGUAUUAUCUAUACAGAGACUGGUCGUGGCUUCUACAACAAGGCUGCAGGCAGCUCUCUCUCUCCUACCUGAAGAUGCUGAUGGAACUUGGAACCUUCAGAAUGCAAGCAUGCAGCUGCUCUCUCCCUGAUGGGAAUACCUUUGAGUGCUCACACGUCUCCCAUUCAAAUGCAAACCAUGGUGGACCCUGCAUAGCAAAGGGGACAAUUCAUGCUUGUUACCACAAGAUCAGCUCUCCUCCCAUAGACCAGAUCUCCACUGAAUCUUUUUCAUUCAGAAUGUUAUCUUGUUUGUACUAAGUUCUGACUACACUCACUCACUCUGUAAACCUUGUUACAGAGAACAAAAAUAUUAACUCAGCCUCUUAAAGCAUGAUUGUGUACUAGUUGUCUUUACAGUUCUGUUAGCUAACAAACCAAUCUAAUUGCAUGAUGGCACUCAGGCGAA